rnacentral:rRNA from 1 species
GAUGAACGCUGGCGGCGUGCCUAAUACAUGCAAGUCGAGCGAACAGACGAGGAGCUUGCUCCUCUGAUGUUAGCGGCGGACGGGUGAGUAACACGUGGAUAACCUACCUAUAAGACUGGGAUAACUUCGGGAAACCGGAGCUAAUACCGGAUAACAUGUUGAACCGCAUGGUUCAACAGUGAAAGACGGUCUUGCUGUCACUUAUAGAUGGAUCCGCGCCGCAUUAGCUAGUUGGUAAGGUAACGGCUUACCAAGGCAACGAUGCGUAGCCGACCUGAGAGGGUGAUCGGCCACACUGGAACUGAGACACGGUCCAGACUCCUACGGGAGGCAGCAGUAGGGAAUCUUCCGCAAUGGGCGAAAGCCUGACGGAACAACGCCGCGUGAGUGAAGAAGGUCUUCGGAUCGUAAAACUCUGUUAUUAGGGAAGAACAAAUGUGUAAGUAACUAUGCACGUCUUGACGGUACCUAAUCAGAAAGCCACGGCUAACUACGUG